CCCAGACUCCUACGGGAGGCAGCAGUGGGGGAUAUUGCACAAUGGGGGGAACCCUGAUGCAGCGACGCCGCGUGAGUGAAGAAGUAUUUCGGUAUGUAAAGCUCUAUCAGCAGGGAAGAAAAUGACGGUACCUGAUUAAGAAGCCCCGGCUAACUACGUGCCAGCAGCCGCGGUAAUACGUAGGGGGCAAGCGUUAUCCGGAUUUACUGGGUGUAAAGGGAGCGUAGGCGGCAGGGCAAGCCUGAUGUGAAAGCCCGGGGCUCAACCCCGGGACUGCAUUGGGAACUGCCCCGCUCGAGUGCCGGAGGGGCAGGCGGAAUUCCUAGUGUAGCGGUGAAAUGCGUAGAUAUUAGGAGGAACACCAGUGGCGAAGGCGGCCUGCUGGACGGUGUACUGACGCUGAGGCUCGAAAGCGUGGGGAGCAAACAGGAUUAGAUACCCUGGUA
rnacentral:rRNA from 1 species